UCAGACAUGGGAUGCAAGAACUAUAUAAUUAACUUGUUAGAAAACAAAUUACUCGAGGCGGUGACAUCAUAAGUUAAAAAGAAACUCAAAAGUGAAGAUAGAUGUCAAUGAGUGGAGUUCUAAUAGGGACUUGGGUAUUAAGGGGAGUCCAAGUCCCACAUCGAUUAGUAUGGGAUGCUCGGUGGAGUAUUUAAGUGGCUUGGUUCUUUUCCCUUAAUAGCUAGCUUUUAAGGGAAGGUUCCCCAAGGGCAUGAAUUCUUACCGAUUGGUAUAAGAUAUGGUUGUUGGUGGCUCACAAAGGGCUGCUUAUAGAGGGCUGACUGGAAAGGCCGAAUAAAGUGUAGUAGAGUGUCAACCGAAUAGCUAGCUUUUAAGGGAAGGUUCCCCAAGGGCAUGAAUUGUUACCGAUUGGUAUAAGAUAUGGUUGUUGGUGGCUCACAAAGGGCUGACUGGAAAGGCCGAAUAAAGUGUUGUAGAAUGUCAACCGCCAGGGCUACCUAAGGGAGGGUUCCCCAAGGGCAUGAAUUCUUACCGAUUGGUAUAAAAUAUGGUUGUUGGUGGCUCACAAAGGGCUGCCUAUAGAGGGCUGACUGGAAAGGCCAAAUAAAGUGUUGUAGAGUGUCAACCGAAUAGCUAGCUUUUAAGGGAGGGUUCCCCAAGGGCAUGAAUUCUUACCGAUUGGUAUAAGAUAUGGUUGUUGGUGACUCACAAAGGGCUACCUAUAUAGGGCUGACUGAAAAGGCCGAAUAAAGUGUUGUAGAGUGUCAACCGCCAGGAUGUCGGCUCUUAGGGGUGGUGUGAUAAUAAGGUCUUGAAUAUUAUGGGGUGCCCAAGUCCCACAUUGAGUUGUGGGAUGCUCGAUAGUCGAUGGAGUAUUUAAAUGGCUUGGUCUUCCCCCCCAAGGGCUUGAAUACUUAUCAAGCUCAUUCAAGAUUAAGUUAACAGCAUGCUCACAUGAGGCCAAAGCCACGACAAAGGAUGCAAAAAAGCAGUUAUGACAAUGCCUCAAGGGAAAUUCGUUUUUCGUCUACGAUUUAGCAAUUGUAUGUUAAGAAAUGGUUAAGGGUAGCCAACGCACAAGGUACAUCGAGAAAUGGUAAAUUCGUCUCGAGAGUAAAUGCCCCCACAAGUACAGAGGUUGUUUUCAAGAUUGAUUUGAGCCCAUAACUUCCAAGUUCCAAGUCACACGGUAUGCUCAGAAAUGGUAGAGGUUGUCCCCAUAACUUCCAAGUUCUAAGUUCCAUCAGCAUUUUUAGUCCCUAUAAAAUUUUUCCAUCAACAUUUUUGGUCCCUAAAAUGCUUAAGGAAAAUGUCACAGGGACUAAAAAGUGUGAUUUUAUUUUGUAUGGACUAAAAACAAAACUGUGAAUAUUUAUAGGAACUGAAAACUUAAUUAACCCAUUAAAUUAAUAGAACCAUAUUCUACUCUAGUUAAUCAUGUAAACAAAGUCCAACAAAAAUUCAAAAAAGAAUGGUCAAAAUUUGCCAACAUGUUCAUGAUACAGAUAGAUCAUACAUGCAAGAAAAGUAACUCCCACCCUGUCUUACAAAGCAGAAAUAACCCCUUCCUAAUCCAAGAUACAUUGAAUCACAAUGCAAAUAUAAUCUUAUUUGUAGUUCAUCCUCCUUUUGGUAAUCAUGAGGAAUGGAAAAGAACAAACAAAAAAAUAACA
rnacentral:lncRNA from 1 species